rnacentral:miRNA from 1 species
GGCAACUUGCUAAAAUGCAGAUUUGGAUGCAGUAGAUCUGGAGUAAGGUCUAAGAUUCUGCAUUUUUCACAAGCUC